UUGUACUCUUCAAAUGUGACGCAGUUAGAUUAUCUCUCAGUAGCAAGCCACCGCCGGCUGUGGUUCGAGCGGGAACAGACUCAUCAACAUACAACUGUUCUCUGAAACUGCGUGUUGUUUGUCCAAUGGAUUGCAGCCACAGUGAGGGAGAAUAACCCCACUGGUUGCCAUGGUGCCCAGCACAAAUCCAUCUCAGUUUGUGUGCCUGUGCAGACUGAAGGGAAUUAAAAACACAAGCACUCUGAUGCAGGGGUGAGGUGCAAGCCCCGUGCUUACCAAAGUUCCGCCUUUUGUCUGUCCUGAAGGAGAAGCGUGUGAUGGCAUCCAACACGAUCAUCAAAAAGGAGCACCAGCCCAAAGUCAUCGUCAGCAAGCAGGGUCCCAACCCCCACAAUGAGGGACCGGCAGCUUGAGGAAUACCGCAGGCACACGGAGCAGAAACAGAAAUGGUCUGAAGUCAGCCAUCAUUCAGCGACUCGCCAACCCCUCCUCCACCCCAUUCUCCUCCAGUCUGAGGAUAUUCAUCACCUCAUCCGGAUCCCGACCUCAACUGAUCAUGGAUCAUGUCAACGGAUCGAGGAUUAUAGCAGCACCUGAUCAUGGUGGCAGCUGAUCGCAGACUAAAAAUCUACAAGAUUGCCUGACGAUAUACUUAUUUCUCGUGGCAUCCAUUGCACUUCUGUCCAUCCUGGAAGAGGGAUCCCUCGCAUGCAGCUCUUCCUGAGGUUUCUACAUUUUUCCCUGUCAAGGUUUUUUUUUGUAGUUUUUCCUUACCCUUGUGAGGGUUGAUGGCAGAGGAUGUCACACUCAGCGAGUCCAGAAGGACAACGAGCACGAGAUGUGCCUUGCAAACAAACGUCUGACCGAUAAACCACCACCAGUGUCUAGACCCCGGGGGUUAUUCCUGUUCGAUGCUCUGCUCCAUCCCCUUCUAAUCCUGAUGACAUUUCACAGGGGUCUAAAAUGCCAAAGACUA